rnacentral:rRNA from 1 species
UACGUAGGGGGCGAGCGUUGUCCGGAGUACUGGGCGUAAAGCGCACGCAGGCGGUCUGCUAAGUUUGGAGUGACAGUUGGUGGCUUAACUGCCAAAGUGCUUCGAAAACUGACAGACUUGAGGGCUUCAGAGGGACACGGAAUUCCGGGUGGAGUGGUGAAAUGCGUAGAGAUCCGGAGGAACACCAAGGCGGCGAAGGCGGUGGUCCUGGGGACCGGUACCUG